AGCAGCCGCGGUAAUUCCAGCUCCAAUAGCGUAUAUUAAAGUUGCUGCAGUUAAAAAGCUCGUAGUUGAAUUUCGGGACUAAUAUGUCGGUCGUGCCUCGGUACGUACUGGCUUAUUGGUUUCUCCUUUCUGAAGAACCAUGAUGUCAUUUAUUUGGUGUCGUGGGGAAUCAGGACUGUUACUUUGAAAAAAUUAGAGUGUUUAAAGCAGGCUCACGCUUGAAUACAUUAGCAUGGAAUAAUGAAAUAGGACGUUUGAUUCUAUUUUGUUGGUUUCUAGGAUCGACGUAAUGAUUAAUAGGGAUAGUUGGGGGCAUUAGUAUUCAAUUGUCAGAGGUGAAAUUCUUGGAUUUAUUGAAGACUAACUACUGCGAAAGCAUUUGCCAAGGAUGUUUUCAUUAAUCAAGAACGAAAGUUAGGGGAUCGAAGACGAUCAGAUACCGUCGUAGUCUUAACCAUAAACUAUGCCGACUAGGGAUCGGAUGAUGUUAAUUUUUAAUGACUCAUUUGGCGCCUUAAC
rnacentral:rRNA from 1 species